UGAAAAGAGUUUUCAUUUUACAGGUGAGUGGAGAUUUUUUUAAACUAUGGAAAUGAUUACAUUUUUUAAACAUUUUCCCAAACUUUUUGAGGUUGCAAGACAAUUAUUUUUACCUAUGUUUUUUCUGCAGCAGUCUUCUCGCUAAAUGACAGGGCCAUCUGAUACACUCCAUACCAUUAUAGGCACGCAAACCCUUGAUACAGAUCCCACCAUAGUACUAAAUCACCCUCUGUCAUAUUUAUGUAAUUUUUUAAAGUUGCUACAAGUUGUCUUAAGGACUGUUCUCUCUAUCCUAUGUACUUCCCACAAAGUAGACUCACAAAUUCAACAAAUCAACAUUUCCAUAUAAAUCUUGUUUUUGACUACAUUUCCAUAUAAAUCUUGUUUUUGACUCAGAACAUCACAGUCGGCUCCAUAAACAUUACAUAGGAAUUAGACACAAAAUUUUCCUUUUUCUUUAGUUUAGAAAGACUUGGAUUCAACAAGAGCCUCCAUUCUCCCCUUACUGCAAUCACCAUGUGAAAAGAAGGUCUGUAAGCAGGUGAAAGAGCAAGCCGCAAGGAGAGCUGAAAAACUGGAAAACAGCACAAGGGUGGCCCAAGGUAAGCAAGCACCAAGGCAACCAGGUAUUCUGUGCCAGCUGAGGACCACAGGUGUCUUGCUAAAGAAUUUACAGAAGAAAAACUGUAUGUGUUUAUAGCUUUAUAUUUAAGCUAUAAUAGACAGAGUCUACCUCUACCAGCACACUGCCAGUUUCAGAAGUCAGUGACGUCAGAAAAGGAGUGAAGGUUAGCCCUGAGAGAACAGAAAAGCAGCAAACUUUUCAGAAGUUAAAAUGGGGACACCCCAUACAAAUGGGUGGAAGUAUCCCAGUAUGGCCUGAACUACAAAGAGAAAAAUUAAAACACCUUUUUCAAAACCUCAAAGAAAACACCAAGCCUUAUUUGAAACACAGAAGGACAUCAGUACAACAUUACUAACAAAUCUCUAACAGACAGCAAGAAAUGAAAUAAAAACUAAUUAAAUUCA